UACAGAGGUCUCAAGCGUUGUUCGGAUUCAUUGGGCGUAAAGGGUGUGUAGGUGGCGCGCUAAGUCGGGUGUGAAAUUUCGGAGCUUAACUCCGAAACUGCAUUCGAUACUGGCGUGCUUGAGGACUGGGAGAGGAGACUGGAAUUCGAUGGUGUAGCAGUGAAAUGCGUAGAGAUCAUGAGGAAGACCAGUGGCGAAGGCGGGUCUCUGGACAGUUCCUGACACUGAGACACGAAGGCCAGGGAGGCAAACGGG
rnacentral:rRNA from 1 species